GAUGAACGCUGGCGGCGUGCCUAACACAUGCAAGUCGAACGGAAAGGCCCUGCUUGCUGGCUACUCGAGUUGGCGACGGGCGGGUGAGUCAGGGGUGAAUUGCCCUCCACUUCGGGGUAGGGCAGGGCGACUGGGACUAAUACCUAAUAGGAGAUAUGUUUAACGGGAUGGUUCAAAAGUUUUUUCGGUGUUGGAUGAGCCUGUGGCGUAUUAGCUAGUUGGCGGGGUAACGGGGUACCAAGGCGGCGAUGGGUAGCCGAGCUGAGAGGGUGAGCGGCCACACUGGAGCUGAGACACGGUACAGACUCCUACGGGAGGCAGCAGUGGGGAAUAGUGGGCAAUGGGCGGAAGCUUGAUCCAGCGAUGCCGCGUGGGUGAAGAAGGCCUUCGGGUGGUAAAACGCUGUUCUUGGGGAAGAAAAGAUGCGGAAGAAACGAAGCAUGUUCUGACGGUACCUAAAUAAGAAGCACCGGCUAACUACGUG
rnacentral:rRNA from 1 species